UAUAAUAAAAGAAACCUUUCUUGGUACACGUGGCGUUCUGUGGUGCAUUCUUCGAUGGGUUUUCCCACCUAUACGGAGUUCUCUAUAAACACGGAUCGAUUAUAUCCUCUUUCUUUGCUUUUCAAAAACCCUAAAUUGAUCUAACUAACCAUCCGCCAUUUCCUUUGAAGCCAACAUCAUAUAAGCAAAAUCAUCUCGAUAAUUCAUCUAGGUUGCUCGCCAUUUUGUUCCGAUCGUAAGAAGAAAAGUUUGUGAGGUUACAGUUACGAUACAAUUUCAAAACUGAGAUCAUGGAUUCAUUCCUAAAUCGGAUCGACAAGUUCCAAAAGUUGAAAUCGGGGUCUCAUUCGAAAUCGCAGGUCACCAGGUAUUGAAAUCGGUGUUUCAUUCGAAGCUGUAGAUCGUUUUGAGUACAUUCGGAUUGUGUGUUUCUUAUUCUGUCCUUGGUUAUAGAAUCAUGACAUGACACCAAAUCGGAUUAUGUGGGGACGGUGCAAAUAGAACAAUAUUAAGUUUCGAGUUCGGGAUCUCAGUAUAUUUGUUAAUUGUACUUAAUUUGAGCCGAUCUUCACAACUAAAUAACACCAGUUAGUUGUGUUAGCUAUUAGUAUUUACCAUGUUCAUAUUUGAAUCCAAUUUAUUGUUUUCCAUGUUCUGUCACAUUGAUGUUCAUAUGGGUUUGUGUAUUUUCUUUGGUUAGUCAAUACAAUCUCAUGGAUUUCUUUAGCAUAAGGUUUGAUGGAAGUACCUUUUAAAAUUGGUUUAUGUUUGCGGAUUUUGUGGAUACAUCGUUCUUUCAGAAUCUAAUAAGAAAUUAUGGGGUAAUCUUUACUUCCAAGCUAUUGAGUUUUGUGGAUAGUGUUAUUUUCACUUUGUUCACUCAAGGUGAGUUUACAUUACACGUGCCUUGCUUUAUUUUAUCUUUCUUUCUUCGAUUUCAUGUAAAUGAUGAUGUGUUCAUUAAUUAGGAUUAUUAUUAUCCUGUUCUCGGUGUCGCUCGAAUUCAGUUCAUAAUAUUGCAAUCCCUAAAUUUGACGAUGGUGUUACUGGAACUGCUACAUGGGUUGAAGUGGAAUCUGCUUUAUAUCCACUUGACACAAUUAAAAAGCUAGGCUUCAAGCAGGUAAACAGUUCCUCGCUGAAAAAAUUAUUCUGAAGGAUUUUUACUUUGGUUAGGCUGGAAAUCUCAGGUGUUUUCCCCGGUCAAUGUUGUAAUCCUUAUAUAUAUGUUUUCAUAUAUUCGAAUGCAGAUCAUGGUUUCAUAGUGAAGAAGAACCUACAUUUGAGUGUUUGCGGUUCGUAUUUAAAAUAUGUUAUAACUUCUGCAAGAUAUUUUUGAAGUUAUCUGCUCAUUGUAUAUACAAAAAAUGCAUAUUACAUCAGAAUUUCAGUAAAAGGAAAGGUUGAUCAGAAGUUGUUGUUGGCCAUGAUACCCAAGAUGAAACUGAUAGUUAUGAAAGAUACAAAUACUUUGUAAAAAGAGAAAUGGAUAUUAUAUACAAGUGAGUUUCAUUUUUAUUUUACUAUAAUAUCCAUUUUCUCUCUCUUUUUUUUUUAAUUUUCAUUUGUAAGAGUGGUCUUGCAUUUUCAUGUAUGAAUACUAAUUUAGUUUAAGAUGUUACUCCA